rnacentral:tRNA from 1 species
GGGCGGCUAGCUCAGUUGGUUAGAGCGCAGCUUUCACACGGCUGAGGUCACUGGUUCGAGUCCAGUGUCGCCCA